UACGUAGGGACCAAGCGUUGUUCGGAUUUACUGGGCGUAAAGGGCGCGUAGGCGGCAAUUCAAGUCAUCUGUGAAAUCUCCGGGCUUAACUCGGAACGGUCAGGUGAAGCUGCUUUGCUAGAGUGCGGAAGGGGCAAUCGGAAUUCUCGGUGUAGCGGUGAAAUGCGCAGAUAUCAGGAAGAACACCAAUGGCGAAGGCAGCUCUCUGGGACGGUACUGACGCUGAGACGCGAAAGCGUGGGGAGCGAACAGG
rnacentral:rRNA from 1 species